AACGAACGCUGGCGGCAGGCUUAACACAUGCAAGUCGAGCGCCCCGCAAGGGGAGCGGCAGACGGGUGAGUAACGCGUGGGAAUCUACCCAUCUCUACGGAAUAACGCAUGGAAACGUGUGCUAAUACCGUAUACGUCCUUCGGGAGAAAGAUUUAUCGGAGGUGGAUGGGCCCGCGUUGUAUUAGCUAGUUGGUGGGGUAAAGGCCUACCAAGGCGACGAUCCAUAGCUGGUCUGAGAGGAUGAUCAGCCACACUGGGACUGAAACACGGCCCAGACUCCUCCUGGAGGCAGCAAUGAGGAAUAUUGGACAAUGGGCGCAAGCCUGAUCCAGCCAUGCCGCGUGAGUGAUGAAGGCCUUAGGGUUGUAAAGCUCUUUCACCGGUGAAGAUAAUGGCGGUAACCGGAGAAGAAGCCCCGGCUAACUUCGUGCCAGCCGCCGCAGUAAGAC
rnacentral:rRNA from 1 species